AGCUAUACAUCUCUUGCAGAGUUGAUCAUCGAGGAUUGCCCAAAACUGGUGUCAUUUCCAGAGAAGGGUUUCCCGCUCAUGCUUAGAGGUCUUGCUAUUUCUAAUUGUGAAAGUCUAAGUAGUCUACCUGAUGGGAUGAUGAUGAGAAACAGCAGCAACAACAUGUGUCACCUUGAAUACUUGGAGAUAGAGGAGUGUCCAUCUCUUAUUUGCUUUCCAAAAGGGCAGUUACCCACCACCCUUAGGCGACUAUUCAUAUCCGAUUGUGAAAAGCUAGUGUCUCUUCCAGAAGACAUCGAUGUGUGUGCCAUUGAACAGUUAAUUAUGAAGAGGUGUCCAUCUCUUACUGGUUUUCCAGGUAAGCUACCUCCCACUCUCAAGAAGCUUUGGAUAUGGGGGUGUGAAAAGCUACAGUCUCUACCAGAGGGAAUAAUGCAUCACCAUUCCAACAACACAACCAAUGGUGGACUUCAAAUCUUGGAUAUCUCGCAAUGUUCAUCUCUCACAUCCUUUCCUACUGGCAAGUUUCCCUCUACCCUUAAAUCUAUUACGAUCGAUAAUUGUGCACAGAUGCAGCCAAUUUCAGAGGAGAUGUUUCACUGUAAUAAUAAUGCACUUGAAAAGUUGUCCAUCUCGGGACACCCUAAUCUCAAAACCAUACCGGAUUGCCUCUACAACCUCAAAGAUCUUCGGAUUGAAAAAUGCGAGAAUCUGGACUUGCAGCCUCAUCUAUUGCGAAACCUCACUUCUCUUUCAUCACUUCAGAUCACUAAUUGUGAGACUAUCAAAGUGCCCUUAUCAGAAUGGGGACUUGCUAGAUUGACCUCUCUUAGAACUCUUACCAUUGGUGGCAUAUUUCUGGAAGCCACCUCCUUUCCUAAUCACCACCACCACUUGUUUCUUCUUCCUACUACUCUAGUUGAGCUUUCCAUUUCAAAUUUCCAGAAUCUGGAAUCCUUGGCCUUCCUGUCUCUCCAAAUGCUCACCUCUCUUAGAAAGCUAGAUGUCUUCCAAUGUCCUAAGCUCCAGUCGUUUAUACCAAGGGAAGGGCUGCCUGACAUGCUUUCAGAACUGUAUAUAAGAGACUGCCCGCUCCUAAUUCAAAGGUGCUCCAAAGAGAAAGGGGAAGAUUGGCCCAAGAUUGCCCACAUCCCCUGUGUGAAAAUAGAUGGCAAAUUGAUCCUUGAGCAAUAAGAAGUUGAGAUUGCAGCAAAAUGCACGCAGAGACUACCACUAUAUGUAAAUGCUUGGUAUUUUUCUUCAAUCUGCCACAAUUCCUUGUGUCAUUUGUUUAAUUUAUUAUUCCAAGUUUAUUUGUUUAAUUGAAUUGUCUCACGUAUCUUGCACAGUUGAAACUCAUCCAAUGGCAAAAAUUCUCCUUCACCAAUGACUGGUUUGCCAUCCAUGCUAUAAAGUCUCAUGCUUGAUGGUUAUGAAGGUUAAAAAUUCAGUAUUUCAUUGACCGAAGAACAAGAAGAAGAAGAAGAACAGAUUUAAUUAAAAAGGUAAGGGAACAAUUCAUGAAGACACCAAUGGUAACAGGACUAUAUGCUCUGCCUUAAUCACCCUAUCAUAGAGAUGAGUGAUCCAUCACCCUUAAUCAAAUUAUGAUUUUUUGUUGCAGAAACUGGAGUCAAUUUUAGCAAAAAAAAUUGCAGAUAAAACUUACUUGGAAGCUUUUGUAGUUGUACGAGUCAGAACUUUAUCUGGGGCCUCAUGACAUGCCUGUUGUUAGAUUGCAUAUCUACGCAACACACAUAGGCUAUUAAUUCCCUUUCUAUUAGAAUCAAGUACGCCCAUUCAUUAUAAGUAACUUUUUUGUUCUUAAGAAUUAGUUUCAAAAUGUUCAUUUUAAAGGAAUUCCAUUUCGUGCAUGUAGGGUGUGAAGGAGAAGAUAAUGCAAAUGGAAUCCAAUUCUCUAACCACAGGGUCAGCCAGUUAAAGUGAGUAUACUCUAUUUCAUUCAUGAUCUUUUUUGACUUUGUGCAUCUGAAUUGCAUUGUCCUCAAUAAGCUUCCUUUUUCCAUAUAUCUCUGUAUAAAAUUCUGCCUUUUUUUUCCUUACGUAUUCAUAGAUGUGCAUUUAUCAACAUAAGCUGUGUUCUUAAUGCUUUUAAACCUAUGACUUCACAUUUUUCCAUCACAGGAUUCUACCAUGUCUUUAUAAUUUUCCAUUUAUCAACAUGAUCUUUGUUCAACUUACAGGUUUUUCAAGUGAGUGAUAAAGAAUACAAAUGGUUAGAUAUCAGUCUUUUCUUUGUCCUCUUGAUUGCACUGCAUCUUUAUUUGGAAUUGGAUAUUCCUAUUUGUAACUUGUUUUUCUUGGGGUUUUUAAUUACAUUCCUUGUUACAAUAAGUCAGGAUUGGCCUUUUCUCAAAAAUAAUUGUUCUGCUUCUUGGUCUUCUCCUCAGUUAAUGCAAGCAUCAAAUUUCUACCUUUGUUAUAUCUGUAGAUAAUUUUCUGGUUUGAAUUGUACAGCACACCUAAAUAAUUCAAAGUUGCAGAAGUCUUGCUGGCUCACAAAUUACCAUCUCAUGUGGAUUUUGAAGAAAGGAAAUCUGCAACUUGAGAUACAAUGAGCUAUGAUCAUUCUUACAUUUUUAAAGCUUCUUCAUUUGUAUCGUAUGUUCUGAUGGCAUUUACUUUUUCUCAUUACACAUGCAUGAGGAAGAUUUUAUGAUUUCCAUUAUAAGUUUUGAAUAACUAUAUUUGCAUUUCUUUUUAUUUCAAGUAGAUGGAGGGGUGAAAAUUCUUUUGCAUGUUUGUUGAUGUUUUGCACUUAAAACUCUACUCUGGUGUUUGGUGUUUAAAAAGGGGUACUUCAUGCAGAUAAUGAAAGUAUAAAUAGUUCUUUACCAUAAAAAAAUGCUUCAUGGUUGUUAAGAUCCAUCUAAUUCUUUGUCCUUUUAUUGACAUGUUCUUCAACUUGUGGAAGACUUGGAAGGGAGAGCUUGAAUCAAAUUAAGCCAACACCUUGCAAAAGAUGAAUUCUGGCUAAGAAACCCCACUACUCUCAAGUUCUUUCUUAUCCAAUAAUUUUACAGCAGGUAAUUCGAGAUUAUGGUCUCAUAUUUGUAUUUGUUCAUGGUGAUGCACUCACUGUUUUCACUCUCAUGUUUUAAUCUGAUGGUGACACACUCUUCUUCUUCUAUGCAACCAUUAUGUGAUAAUAGUCAGAGCUCUGUCUUCCUUGAGUUCAAGCAGAGCUUUCUGAUUGAUCAGCAUGCUUCUGAUGAUCCUUCUGCUUAUCGAAAAGUUGCAGCUUGGAAAUGUGAAGGCGAAGGUAGUGAUAGAGGUUUUUUAGUUUAGAUUUUUUAAUAAAAUCAUAAUUUGUUGAUUAGAUAUUUAGUAGGUUGUUAUCUCUGUUCCUAUUUGUUAGGGUGUUGAGAUUCUCUUGGAAGAGAUCUUUAUUUGACUUGUAAUCUACAGCUUAUUCAAUAGGUUGGAUGAUCAUUUUCUUCAGAGCUACGACUCUCAGCUAGGGUUUCUUAAUGGUCAAUACAGCCAUGACCGGUGCAACUAGACCCACCAACUCAACCAAGGAAACGACAGAGGAAGUGUAGAGUGGCCCUGCUGUCUUAUUCAACAAUUAUGAAAAUUCCAACACUUUUCAGAUAACUGUUCACAGAUUCAAUGGCAAGAAUAAUGUAGAGUGGGCGCAAUCGAUGAAGCUAGUGAUAGAUGGCAAAGGCAAAAUUGGCUAUCUCACUGGUGAAGUGACAAAACCAGCAGAAAGAGAUCCCAAAUUCAAACCAUGGAGGUCCGAAAAUUCUAUGAUCAUAGCCGGGUUAAUAAACUCAAUGGAAAACCAUUUAUGUUUCUUCCAACUGCCAAAGAUGUAUGGGAUGCAAUUCGAGAAACAUGCUCGGAUUUGGAAAACUCGUCUCAGAUAUUUGAAUUGAAAACAAAGUUGUGGCAAUUGAAGCAACGAGAUCGAGAUGUGACGGAGUAUUACAAUGGGAUUUUGACUCUUUGGCAAGAAUUGGAUUUGUGCUAUGAUGACCAAUGGGAUUGUACUAGUGAUAAGACACGUGAAGAGAGGAAAAUGACAGAGCAUAUGUUUUUCUUGCUGGACUUAACAAAGAAUGGACGAGGUCAGGGAACGAAUUCUUGGGAGGAAACCCUUGCCAAAUAUUCAUGAAGUGUUUUCUAAAGUUAGGCGAGAAGAAGCUCAACGGAGAGUGAUGCUCAAAGAUGCUGAUCAAAAGCAUACAACUGAAUCUGAAAGUUCUACUCUUGCUUCUAGAAGAUUCGAACAUGAAGGAGACCACGGAUGAAAUUUUCUUUAUAUAUUGCUGAUAUAUUGUGUAUAGGAGAUUAUGGAAACGAUAUUAUGUGGGAAAAUAUCAUUUCGACGAAAUUUUGAGGAAAAUUGUCGAAAAUCAUCGAUAUUUAUCGAUAUAUGCGCUACAAUGUGGUCAAACACGCUGCAUUACCAACCAGCUACAGUGCUCCCUCAAAAAUGCCUUGCAAUUUGCAAUUUGCUUACCACCGGGGCAAGUUUGCUUCUUGUUAAAUAUAUUACACCAAACAUAUAUAUUCAAAGUCAUCAUAUAAACAAAAUAUUAAAAGAAUAUUCUAGAGAACAAAUUAAUUAUAACUAUUUUAUAAUUAAAUGCAAAAAUUUCUUUUAAUUGAUUAUCAAAAAUAUAAAAAUUAUCAUAAUAAUUUUCUUCAUAGUGUUUUUAAUAUCAUUAAUAAAUUAAUUAAAUAUUAAAAAAUUGUAUAUAUAUUAUAAUUUAUUUUAUAUCAUUUAAUACAAUUGAAUUAAAUAGAUUAUAAUUUUAAUAUUAAAUAUAUUUUAAAAUUAGACAUAUUAUAAUUAAAUAUCACAAUAUUAUUAUGAAAUAAUAUUUGAUGUAAUUUAAUAAUAAAUGUACACUUAUAAAAUUCAUAUUUUUUUAUCGAUUCAUUCAAUAUUAUUAUCAAAUAUGAUAAAUCAUAUUAUACAUAUAUUAAAUUAUUUAAUAAAACAACUUUAAAAUGUCAAUUAUACUUUUAAUUACAUUUUUAUGACGUUUAUAUAUAUCAAAUAUGUAUCGGUACUUCAAUUUUAUAGAUAUAUCAGAUAUAUCGAGGAUAUAUUAACAGAUAUUUUGGAAUAUAUAUAUAUUCAUGAUUACCAAUACUUUUAUCCUUGAAGGAUAUAAGCAAAAUAAUAAGUGGUUAGAAAAACCAUGGUGUGACUACUGCAAACGAGCCUGGCACACAAAGGAGACUUGCUGGAAGACACAUGGCAAGCCAUAAAAUGUGGAUAAAAAAUCCAGCAAUGAAGAACGUGCAUUUCAAGUUAACAGUGAUGACCAAGGGACAUAAACUUCCUUAGAAAUUUUUUCUCUCACUAAGAAACAACUAGAGCAAUUCUGCAAAUUCCUUCGAUCCCAAAUAAGUUUCCUUCAUGUUCAUUGGCCUAGAAAGGUAACUCUUAUUCCACUGCACUUACUUGUGUCAAUUCCAGUUCCCCAUGGAUCAUAAAUUCAGGUGCAUCGAAUUAUAUGAUAGGUUCAUCAAAAUUGUUUUCGUCUUAUACUCCCUGUACAGGAAAUAGAAAAAUAAAAAUAGCCAAUGGUCCUCUAUCGACCACAGCAGGAAAAGGGUCAAGAACUAUUUCUUCCUCAUUAACUCUUCACAACAUCCUUCAUGUUACAAAUCUUGUUUUGAGAAAACAAUCACAACGUACUUGUUUUGAGUUGAUAUCUAUUUCUCUUGACAAUGAAAUCGUGUUAUGACAUUUUAGAUUAGGUCAUCCCAACUUUUAGUAUUUGAAAUAUUUGAUUCCAAGUUUGUUUAAGAAUAAAGAUCCAUCUUUGUUUCAAUGUGAAAUUUGUGAAUUAUCAAAACAUCAUUGUGCAUCGUUCCCAUUACAACCUUCAAACCCACUAAACCAUUUUCAAUUAUUCAUAGUGAUGUUUGGGGGCAAUUUAGGAUUAAUACUAUUACGGGUAAGAGAUGGUUUGUUACAUUUAAUGAUGAUCUGUGGACCUGCAUUUUUCAUGUGUGUUCUCACUCAAUCGACGAGACUCGUUUUUUAUUAAAUAAAAAAUUUAGUUUUAGAAAAAGUUGGAGUGCCACUUAUUUUAUUUUAUUUUAAAGGGAAAAUAAAAUAAGAAAUAAAACCCUAAAAAAUGACUCCAUAGUUUUUUUGGAAAAAUGUGUUUUUAAAAAAUCCGAGUCUAGGUCUGGAGAUUAGGUUACUUAUUGGGAAGGUACCUCUAUGAGAUAGCACCUCUCUAAGCCUUAUAAAGGUCUCUACUGACUAAGUUAAGGGGAAUGUGACAAUUAAUUGAUUAAUUAUGGAUACCUAAGUGAGCUAGGUGAUUUCAAAAGAACAUUUAAGGUGCGUACCUGGACCACUUUUUAAGCGCUAUUAUAAAACAUCAAUGAUUAGUUUGAAUAAUAUAUCACCCAAUAUGCACUUUAUCAGAAAUAAUCAAACUAUGAAACAGAUAUCAAGACAUUUAAGCACUAUCAAACAUAGACAUAGUUCACAAUGACAAUCAUAUUUACAGAAUUCAGAAAAUAGGUGUUAGGGAGCAUACCUAGAUAGCAUAGAUAACUCGUAAUUCGCUUUCUUAGGGCAUGGGGGGCGAGGGGUUAGAUAAUAAAUAAUAAAAUAAGAAAUCCUAACACGCUUAUCUGAUUAGUAUAGAAAAAAAAAAUGAUCAAAGUAUAUUAAAUCAUCAAUCGUCACACACAUUUUGUAUACAAUUCCUAAAAAAUAGAUAGAUAUAUUUACAACAAAUAGCAAGGAUGGUAGCAAAAAUAAGUUUUGAAAAGAUUUUCUUAUGUAGGGGUUUCACCAAUUCCCCAAUUGAUAUACACGAAUUUAGCCUAGAAUUAUCCCAUUUAUUUGGGACCACAAGCAUUGAUUCAUGUUUUGUUCAAAACCAAAAUUUUCAUUGAAAACUGAAAAUGAUGCAAACCGAUCGAGAUAUGGUUGCAUAUUAUUUUGAAAAAAAGAGAUUUUGAUUCUAAAGACUCUAAAUGAAUUUUCUUUUUAAAUAGAUUUUUUUUUAAAGGAAUCUUUUGAGAAAAAGUGUUUUGUUUUAAAAUAAAAGAAAUUAAUUUUAAAAAUAACAAAACAUGGAAAACAAAAUGCCAACCAAAACAAAAGGAAACGAAAAUCACAAAAUGAAGAUUUAGACAAUCAUGCCAAUUAAAUUGGUGAGAGUAAGGUCAACCUUCAUGGGUUUCCAAUGGCCUUCAAAAAAAGAUUUGACCAACAAUCAUUAUGACAACAAACUUAUGACUUCCUAAUCAAACAAACAAACAAAAUAUUAUCUAAGACUAACAUCUAGAUUUCAAGAAACACAUGAAUUAAGAUAAGAAAAACCAAUCAAGGAUUAAAGUUAACAAAUUUAGCAUGUGGAGAUAAUAAUGUGGGAUUAAUUAAGGUAAAUUAACAUUCUAACAAAAUAUGAUAAAUCAAAAACCAAAAUUUAGCAAUCUUGAAAAUAUGAAAACAAUAACAUGCAAUUAAUUAGAUUGACUAUCCAAAACUCCUAAAAAAUUUGAACUAAAUAUUAAUAGAUCAAAGCCAAAAUAUGUCAUACUCAAAAUAUGAAAAAUAAUAACAUGUGAUUGACUAAAUUAAUUAACUGAAACUCUUAAAACAUUAAAACUGGAUAUUGAUGGAUCAAAAUUAAAAUUUCCAUACAUAAGACAUGAAAAUAAUAACACGUGAUUAACUAAAUUAAUUAACUAAAAUUAUAAUCAACUACAAAAUUGGAUAUAGAUGGAUUAGAAUCAAAAUUAACGAAAUCAGAAACGCAUAAAUACAUUCAAACUAAAACAUAAUUAAUACUAGAUUAAAUUCGAAUUAACAAAAUCAACAUCAUUUAAUAAGAUUGGCUAAACUAUCAAAUUGAAAUUGCAAAUAUAUUUAAACUAGAAUAAUUAAAUAAAUCAUCAAUUUAAAACUAAACUAAAAUUGAAAUUAAAAACAUGAAAUUUAUCUAAGAAGGUUAAUCAAACAAUUGAAUUAAAAUCAUGAACGCAUUAAAAUUAUAGAAUAAAUUAAGAUCAAACUAAAUUGAAAUUAAACUCUAUUUAAUAAGAUUAUUUAAAUCGAUGAAUUAAAAUUAGCAAAUACAUUUAAACUAAAAUGAAUUAAAACCAAACUAACUGAAAUUAAAAAAACACAAACUUUAUUUAAACUAUCAUAUAAGCUAAAGGAUUAAGAUCAACAAACGCAUUUAAACUAAAAAUAGAUUAAAACCAAACUAACUAGAAUUAAAAAAAAACACACACAAACUUUAUUUAAACUAUCAUAUAAACUAAAGAAUUAAGAUCAACAGAUGCAUUUAAACUAAAAACAGAUUAAAACCAAACUAACAAGAAUUAAAAACGCAAACUUUAUUUAAUAAAAUUGUUUAAACUAAUGAACUAAAAUCACUAACACAUUCAAACUAAAACUAAACUAAUCCCGAAUUUAAAAAUAUAGACUUUAUUUCACAAGAUUAUUUAAACUAAUGAAUUAAAACCACAAACACAUUCAAACUAAAAAGGUAGGUUAAAACUAAAUUAAUUCAGAAUUGAAAAAUAUAAUUUUUAUCUGACAAAAUUAUUUAAAGUAAUGAAUUAAAAUCACAAAUAUGUUUAAACUAACAGACAAAUUAAAAAGAAACUAAUUUUGGAUUAAAAAAAAAAUGAACUUUAUCUAUUAGGAAUAUUUAAACUAAGGAAUUAACAACACAAGCACACUUAAAUUAAGAGAAUAAAUUAAACUGAAAUUAAAAAUAUGUACUUUAUCUAACAGGAUUAAUAAAACUCACAAAUCAAAAUCUCAAAUAUAUCCAAAUAAAAAAAUAAAUUAAAACUAAACUAAAACCGAAUUAAAAGUGAACUUUAUCUAACAUAAUUAAUUAAGUUAAUGAAGUAAAAUCAAAAACACAUCCAAAUUCAAAAAAUAAAAUUAAAACUAAAUUAUAUCGAAAUUUUAAAAAACGGGAACUUACCUAGCUCGUGUCGCCGAUGCCCCUCUCGGAUGCAUGGCUCUUGUGCGUGUUACUCAAAAAAAUCCUCUUGAUAAGUCAAAGUGGCAACCGAAUCCUUGUCUGAAGUCCUCUGUUGUUCUCAAAAUCUGCGCGUGUCCUUUUUUUAAAAAUUGCUCUCAUGUGUUGAUCUCCAAAAAAACCCAAAAUUGUUCUUGUGUGUUUUCUUUGCCAAAAAAAAAAUCCUCUCAGGUGUUUUCUCUGCCAAGAAAAAAAUAUAUUCCAACUUUUUAUUCUCGUCCCUCUCUUAUUUAUAUGGCAACCUAUCAUUUCCAUGGAAUACUCUGUUUCUUUUUUUAAUUCCCGUGGAUAUAUGGAAAGUGCAUAUAUAUGGCUCACUUAGAGACUCCCUCAAGGAUGCAACCCUGUGUCCUAUUUGGUAAGUGUCCAAAUCCUAGUAAUCGCACCAUCGGCCAUGGAUUGGAGUGAUCGGGUUGGACAUUGCAGGGCCUUAUCCAAGAUCGACGAACAAAGAUUCAUCUUCUUUUCCCAUGGUGAAUGUCUGGCUAUGGAUUCUUCUUUUGCCUUCGGCAUUGGUUUCUUGAACCAAGCAGAUUUCCUCAGCGCUUCGAUGCUCAUCAUUUUAUUAGGAUUCGGAUCGAGCAACUGUGAUAUUAUCGAUCAUGCCGGCCUCGAGAUCCAAGGUAGAAACUGGUAAUCCCGUCGAUAGAUUUUUUGGUACAUUGUCACGAGAUUAUUAUCAUCAAACGGGAGAAAUUUGAAAAGAAAGACGAAAUGUAUAACUCCGUAAGGCCACGCGUCCGCCUUUGCGUCGUCAUGGCUUUUUUGAUAAACGACUUCCGGCGUUGUGUACUCAGGUGUGCCACAAGCGGUGUGGAGUAAGCUAUUCUUAAGUUGAUCUGGAAGCGCGAACAACCUGAAGUCAGAGACCUUGAGGUUACCGUCUUAGUCUAGGGGAAGGUUCCGCGGCUCCAUGUUGCGGUGAGCCACGCUGUUCUGAUGGCAGAACAAGAGGGUGAAUACUAGUUGCUGGAAGUAACAGCGCGUCGCUGCCUCAGUGAGACGGUUGCGGUGGUACCGUCUGUGAUGGAAAGGGCCUGGUACAGCUUGGCGAAGCUGCCUCGGCCGAGAAGGCAGCUGAGUUUGUAUUUGCCAAGGAUAAACUCGGCGGGGAGAGGUUCCAUGAAGGCAGGAGGAGGAAAUGUCGGCGGUAGUCGCAACUCUCAUUGAAGCAGCGUUGCCCAAGCUACCUGUGAUAAAAUGGAGAAUCCUUGAUAGUGUUGCCAUGCGUCCACCCUUUUUCAUUUUUUCAUUUUUACUUUUCUUUAACUCCUCUUGUUCUUUCCUCCCCAAUCUCCUAGAAUACUCCAAAACCCAAAAAUGAUGGUUUCUUGUGACGUCACCUUGCUCAUCCUAUAAAUGCUUGUGUAGUACCCUUCCAAAACGCAUGUGUCUACAACCUCUUAAAGCCUUCUGGGACCGAAACAUGGUGGUCACGUGAUGCUGGGACGCACACUAGAGAUGGAUAUAAAUUCCCAACUAAUGAUUUACGAAAAUAUUCUACAGAUGGCUUUCUCGAAUCCUCAUCGUUGCAUGUAUGCCUUUGCCUUGCUCAUAAUCUCCCCGAUAAUAAAAAAUUUCAUGCAAUUUUUCUCCUCAUGCAAAACAGAAUAAAAUAAAAUUGAAAGGAAUUUAAAAGAAAAGAAAAGAAACUAAUGAAAAUUAUGUGAGUUAUAGUGAAAUAUAAGAUGAUUAAAAGGAAAAAAAAGAAAGAAAGGAGACUAGAUUAUAUAGUUCCAUCAUUUAAUAAGAGGCCGCAAACAUCUUUAAAGUCUAAACAAUUCAAGCAAAUUUCUAUUAAAUAAAUAAAUAAAAAUAAAAAAGAUAAAUAAUAAUAAAAUAAAUAAAUAAAAUAAAAAUAACAAUAAUAAUAAGAAUAAGUAAAUAAACAAAAUAAAUAUGAUCAUCAAAUGCAUGCAAUAAUAAUAAAAAGAUUAUAUAAAAAGUUAAGCCCAAUGAAGUGUCUAAGCGGGCCUAAGGUAGUGCUUAAUGGGCCAUGUGUAUCUACAUAGACCUAGAGGGUGCUUAAUGAGUUUAGGGUGGCUAGGUGGACCUAACUAAGUCUAAUCUAAAGUGCACCUAAGUGAAACUUAAUCUAAACUUGAAGGAUAACCAAGGUCUGAAUGUGGGGCCAGAUAAACCCCUCAACCAAAGUUUCUAAAGUGGCUCAGAAAUGGUAAGCUACACGAGUAGUAAUGAGCCAUUAAAGAACCAUUGUAGAACAUUGGAAGUGAACUUAAAGAUAUAUGCUAAAAGGACAAAAUGAAGGGUGUCUACAGAUCACACAAGAAUUUGUUGGGUACAUCCAUUAAAAGGCAAAUCGAAAGUAGAAUAAGUUUUCAAAGCCUUUCAUAAGAUGAUUCAAACACAAUUUCAAGGAAAUGUUAAGGUUUUCAAAAGUGCUAAUGGGAAAGAGUUUUUUUAAAAAAAAUUCUAGGAAGAUAUUUUCUUGAAAACGGUUUCGUACAUCAAAGCUCUUGUAAUGAUACACCACAACAAAAUGGAGUAGUUGAAAAAAAAAAAAAAACAAACAUCUUUUAAAAGUUGAUGGAUCGUUAUUGUUUUCAACAAAAAUUCUUAAGUAUUUGUGGGGAGAGGCAAUUUUGGCAACAACUUAUUUGAUUAAUAAGAUGCCCACAUGAGUUUUGAAAUUUAAAACUCCAUUUGAUGUUUUCAAAACUUUUUUUUUUCCCACAUCAUGAAUUUCCUCUGAUUUACCUCUAAAAAUCUUUGGUUGCACUACAUUUGUUCACAUUCAUCAACAUAAUUGUGAAAAACUUGAUCCAAGGGCUAGAAAGUGCGUGUUUGUUGGGUAUUCUCCCACACAAAAAGGAUAUAAGUGUUUUAACCCAAUUUCCAUAAAAAUGUAUGUUACAAUGGAUGUGACCUUUUUUGAAAUAAGAUCUUUCUUCCAUAAGGCUCAUUUUCAGGGGGAGAGAUCAUGUGAAGAUUCGGAUCCUAUGAGUUUUCUAGAGUUGUUAGACAGUGAAGAAUUAGACAAUGGAUCUAGUUGUGGUGAAAGUUCCGGUUUGGGUUUAGGCUCGGGCUAUGAGGAGAUAGGCACGAGUGGUGGAAAGAAUAUGAUACAUAUUUCUCAAGACCCAAGGCCUACAUUAGAAAUUGGUAGAUCACCUCUAGAAAAUAUUGAACAACCACAACCAAGUCUGGAAAUUAAUAUUUAGGUGCUGAAAAUAUUGAACAACCACAACCAAGUCUAGAAAUUAAUAUUUUAGGUAUUGAAAGUGAGGGGGAGGCUACUAACAUGCAAAAAAAUGUUCAAAACACUAGAGAAAUAAAUACUGAUACAAAUGCAGGUAAAGAAUUGAUUGUUUACUCAAGGAGGAACCUGACACAAAAAAAUGAUGAUUCCACUUUACUGGAAGGCCAUGACUCCAAUCCGAGGACAGAUAAUCUAAAAAGACAUGAGUUAGAUAAAAACUCUUAUUUCGAAUAUGAUCUUCAUACUUCCAUUUUCCCAUCUGUGUCAUAACAUGAUCUGAGUGUUCCAAUUGCCAAUAGGAAAGGUGUUAGGUUUGUACUAAACCUCCUUUGUCCAAUUUUGUGUCAUAUAAGUGGUUAUCUCCCUCAUUUGCUGCAUUCACUUCACAACUUUAUAGUGUACAAAUUUCUAAAAGUGUGCAGGAUGCUCUAAUUAUUCCCGAAUGGAAGGAAGUUGUGCAAGUGGGUGUUCACAGUUAAAUACAACUAUAAUGGGUCACUAUAGAGAUAUAAAACUCAACUUGUUACCAAAUGAUUUACUCAAACCUAUGGCAUAGAUUACUCAUAAACAUUUGCACCGAUGACUAAGCUAAACAUAGUAAGAGUACUCCUUUCAAUAACCGUGAAUUUGGAUUGGCCACUACAAUAAUUAGACAAAAAAAAUGUUUUUCUCAACGGAGAUCUAGAAGAAGAAGUUUACAUGGAUUAUCCUUCAAGUUUUGAAGAUAAAUUUGGCUCAAAGGUGUGCAAGUUAAAAGAAAAAAAGUCCUUAUAUGGGCUCAAACAGUCUUCGAGAACCUAGUUUGUGAAGUUCACAAGGUCAGUAAAGAAUCAAGGUUACACUUAGGGCCAAAUUGACCAUGCUAUGUUCAUGAAGUUUUCAAUAGAGAGGAAAAGUAGCAGUUUUGAUAGUCUACGUUGAUGACAUUAUUCUAACAGGAGAUGACGUGAUAGAAAUGAACAGAUUGAAGAGUUGCUUGGCAAUAGAAUUUGAACUAAAGGACUUGGGCUCAAUGAAGUAUUUUCUCGGGAUGGAAGUUGCACAUUCUAAGAAGGCAAUGGAAAUAUGUAUUGGAUCUUUUAGAAGAAACGGGAAUGAGUGGUUGUUGACCUAUUGAUACUCCAAUGGAUCUUAACAUGAAUUUGUGGGAAGAAGGCAAAGAAACUUCAGUAGAUAUUGUUCGAUAUCAGAGAUUGGUAGGCAAGUUGAUUUACUUGUCACAUAGUUGGUUGGACAUCGCUUUUGCAGUCAGUGUGGUUAGUCAAUUUAUGCAUGCUCCUUAUGAAGAUCAUCUUGAAGCAGUUUACUGAAUUCUCAGGUACUUGAAAAAUACACCAAGGAAAGGAUUAUUCUUUUUUAAAAGCGAACAAAGAAAUAUUGAGGUGUUCACAGACGUAGAUUGGGCUGGAUUAGUAACAAAUGGAAGAUCAACCUUUGAGUACUGUACUUUUUUAUGGGAAAAUUUAGUGACUUGGAGAAGUAAGAAGCAAAGCAUGGUAGCUCAAAGUAGUGUUGAAGUCGAGUUUUGGGUAAUGACACAUGGAGUUUGUGAACUAUUGUGGUUAAAAAGAGUCUUGGAGGAGCUACAACAAGAAGCAAAACAUCCAAUAAAGUUAUGGUGUGAUAAUAUGACAACAAUUAGCAUUGCAUAUAACCCUAUCAAACAUGACCGCACCAAACAUGUGGAAUUGAUCGACACUUCAUAAAGGAGAAACUUGAAGAUGACAUCAUUUGCUUCCUAUUCGUUCCUUCAACUUAGCAAACUGCUGGCAUUUUGGCAAAGGUACUUCUUCGACCUAAUUUUGAGCAUUUAAUCAACAAGUUAGGUAUGAUAGAUAUCUAUGCUUCAACUUCAGGGGGAGUGUAAAAAAGAUAGGUUUUUUAGUUUAGAUUUUUUAAUAAUAUCAGAAUCUAUUGAUUAUGUUAGCCCAAGGGUUCUCCUAAUCAGGUUUUGAUGAUAACAAACCGUGGUUAAGUGACUAAUUGCUUUAAAUUGUUAAGAAUCUCAGGUAUAAUCUCAAGGACCAAACGAAUACGGGAUAAAGACCAUUUGGAAGACUUGUGAUCAUAGGAAAUGAAUGUAAGAUGAUAGCAUGAGUGCACUUAGGAUGUUCAUACAUUUUCAUGCAUCUUAGAAAACUCGGUUUAUUCUUUAAAACUUGAUUUUCUUUAAAACCCGAGUUUUAUCAAAUAUACCUUAGGCAAAUUGACUCAAAAUUGACAUAUUAACUCUCCUAAAGACCUUGCCUAAGUAUUGGAAAAGAAAGAAAUAAAAAAGGAUAGGUUUUCAGGGCCAAAAGGCUCAUCCGGUCGAGGCUAUGGCCAACCGGCUCAACCGGUUGGGGAACCGGUCGACCGGUUUCCCUUGUCCGGUCGAGGUCCGGUCGAGGGAGACACAAAAACUUUCUCUCUCUCCCAGUAGCUUCCUCUUCCCGGUCGAGCCUCACCCUUUGUCCGGUCGAGGUCUGGUCGAGGUCCGGUCGAAGUCCGGUCGAGGCAACGAUAACCUGCUAUGCAUUAAAUGCUCCAACGGCUAGUGAUCCGGUCGACCCUUUGCUCGUCCGGUCGAGGCUACUUUCUGCUGUUUUUGUCUCCCGAGCUUAGAAACCUAUAAAUUGAGAGCUCCUAUUCAUUUAUGACUAAGAGAACAAUUGCAUUCAAAGCCUACCUACCUGUUCUUGAUCAAAAAAGCUCUCAUCAUCUUUCUUAGUGCAUUAAACCAUCAAUUGCAUAUUCUUAGUGCACUCUUGCAAUUCAUCCUAGCUUUCUCUUGUACUUGAGCCUUCCUUAAGCUAGGUUGAGAGUUUCAUCCUUGUGUAAAUUGAGUGUGAAAGCCUUCAAGUGGUUCAAAUCUUGAAGAGAUUGUGUAAGAGCCCAUUGGAGCCGGAAUCCAAGUGUAAGACGAUUGAAAGCUUGAUUGUAGCUUCAAGCUAGUGUAACCCUCACUCGGUUAGGAGAUUGAGGAGAGUGGACGUAGGCAAGGGAGUGCCGAACCACUAUAAAUCUGAGUUUGAAUUCUCUACCUUUAUCUCUUUCCUUUAUUUAUUUUGUGCAUAUAUUGUUGUGUGGAAAAAGAUUUUGAAAAACCCAAUUCACCCCCCCUUUUGGGUAUUUUCCUUAAUUAUUCAUAGCCUUUGUUUUAUCAGAUUAGAUAUUUAGUAGGUUGUUAUCUUUGUUCUUAUUUUCAUGUUCCAGUUUUUUAGGGUGUUGAGAUUCUCUUAGAAGAAAUCUUUAUUUGUAAUUUGCAGCUUAUUCAAUAGGAUGGAUGAUCAUUUUUCCCCUAAAAUCUUCAUAGAGUGUGACAAGGACACUGCCCAUGUGAUUGGCCUUAACCUUGGCAACAACUAUCUCUAUGGUUCUAUCAACUCUAGUAGCACCUCUUCCACCUUGUGCAUCUUCAAGGGCUUGAUCUAUUUGAUAACGAUUUCAGUUCCUCUAAGAUCCCAUCUAGAAUUGUCCAGCUUUUGAGUUUAAGAAGUCUAAACUGCUCGUCUUCCAGAUUCUCCAGCCAAAUCCCAUUGGAGCUUUUAGUGCUGUCCAAACUGGUUGUCCUUGAUCUCUCACAAAAUCCAUUGAAGCACAACGCCAUUAACCUAACCUGGCUUUAGAUGCAGGGGUGAGAAACAUUUCAUUCUUUUAAUAUAAAAUGCUUUUGGGAAGUUGGUUGUAUCGUUCCUGGUGAAUGGUGAUUUCCCCUACCAAUUUGGUACACUUUCAGACUUGAUCUUAUGCAUAUCAUUGAAGAACCUUUUUUUUUUUCCUCAAUAUUUUGUUUUUAGAAAGAUUUUAACUAAAAAUAUUGUGCAAUUUCAUUUGAAAAAAUUUUCAAAUCCUCUUCUCUGUAAAACUAUGGAUCUUUAGUGUUCUGUAGACCCCUAAUAUUAGGAAUAUGGUGGUUUAUGUUUGAAUACACGUUUUUCUCUUUAAAUCCUUGAACCUAGUGUACCAAUAUUUCAAACAUUUUUUUUUGUUUACAGAUAUAUGCUAGAAAUAUGAUAGGGUGAUGAAAGCCAAGGAACCACUUUGGUGUUGAUUUGGAGAUCAAUCACUAAAAGGUUCAGAUGAUUUCUUUUUCUAGUUUUUUCUUAUUUAGGUAAGAUUAAGAGGUAUCCUUAUGGUGGCAAAUUCUUCUAACCUAAAGAUUAAGUGAUCAUUUGGUGAAACAAAACAUAAUUUAGAAACAUUCCCUCAUUCAGUCACUGUUGCUAGCUUUUAGGAAGCUGACAACAUUUACAGUAAUAAAUAAAUGGUACCCUGCUUUCCAUACUGAUCAUGUUACUCAGGGUAGGUUGCUUUUCUUGAACUUGAGCAUUUUUUUUUACUAAAAAUGAUGAAUUGAGACUAUAAUCUACUUCCAUUUUUAACAACUUGAGAAGGUAACAUUUUUCAAGCAAUGGCAUAAAAAAUCUGAAGAUGAUGAAUUGAGACUAGAAUUGCUCCUUGCUAAAGAAGAUGACAUUAAGAGACUCUUUCUUAGUAGAUGUAGGGGCUCCAUCCACUAAGUAAGCAUAGAUGUUCGGAAUGUAGAAACGCUCUUGAAACUCUCGUUUAAUAAGGAGUUUAAUAGGCUUUUCCGAAUGAGUACGGUCGGAACCUGCUCUUGUAUGGACAACUUUCUGGCCCUUACUAGCCAUUGGUAAAAGCCAUAUCCCCUCUUGAUGACAUGAUGAAGAAAUGGGUCGUGAGAAACCUACAUAGCACAACGACCGAUUGUCAUAAAAUAGUCGCCCAGUCCUUCUGACAACAGACAGUGCCUCAUAUGUACAAUAACUAGCUUACCCAAGCCUAAAAUCCACAUUUAGGAGAAGCACUUGGCCCAGCCUGUAGGGUAAACCCUAACCAAGAUCUCGCUCAACCAUACUCUCAUAGUGACCCCAAGCCAAAAGGCCAAUGUACACCCCUCAACGAACCAACAAAAAGAAAGCAAACCUUAACCCUACCAAACGCUACUUAUUCCCCAAAUGGUGAGUGUCUUCGCCAUAAAAACUUCAAAAGCCCUACAUUAUGGACCUCACAACGUCCAUUUCAUACCCAAAAAGCCCCAAAAUUGCAAAAAUAGUUCCAAGGCAGCAAACUAACCAACUCGAUAAACAAAAAAUUGAAACCAGAAGAAGGAAGAAGAAUGGGCUUACCAUAGUCUAAAAUGUGCGCGUAUAAGCAUAAAAUGACGCUCACCAAAAAUAAGAUAAGAAAUACAGUAAAGUCAUCGGAAAUGAUGAGCGACGAAGCGACGGAGUGCAGAACAAACGGUGGCAGCUGAAGUUGCAGCAAAGAAAAUACGGGAGAAGAAAGGAAGAAGAAGAGCUCCAAAGGCAGAAACAUCCAAAAAGGUACCCCAAGGGGUCUGGAGUCCCUUAUUUAUAGGGGACCAAAACCUUAGGGAUCCCAAAAAGCAGGUCGCCUGGGAACGCGCACCAAAGCGACAUGCCGCUUGACAGCGCCCUCGAUAAAAAACAACCCUCAUUUAAAUCCCUAAUUGACACAUGUCCCACACACAUUGGGGAAUUCCAGGGGGUAUUUUUAAACCCGUUCGUCUCUGUCGGACAAAGACACUCGUGUUAAAAAGGGGCAUUGUGGGGGCCUUCCCCACGUGCCAGUCCGUAUGAUGGUCCAUGUGGCACUCCUCUCAGUAUUGUACGGAUGGUCACCAUAGUAUCCGGAGCUUCCCAUCCGGGCCAUAUAGGCUGGUAGCUGAGCAACAUUAGACUUCCUAAGUUGACAACGUUUUCCGUAUAGCUUGCGACUCUCUCCUCUUGACAAAAGUAUGGAUGAUGGGACUUUUCCUGAUCUUCACAUCCGUGUCAGAAGAUUAUCACACAUUAGCAGGUUGAAGUGAUGAGCAAAUAUAUCAGGACACACCAUCUGAUGGCACCAACUAUCCACCUUAAAUUGCAAUGAUUACCCUACCAUCUACAAGAUAGCCAUUAUUGCAGUAAAAGUCAAAGCGCCAACACAACACUACAGUGGUUCCAUCCUAAGCACUAUAAAAGGCCCUCCCAAGCAAAACCCAUGUACGCAAGAAUAAAGGGCUAGCCCAUUCACUCUCCUCUUUAAAGGUUAAUCCUCAUCAUCACUCAGUCCAUUGUCACUAGGUAGAGGCUUUGAGUGGCACAACAAAAGGAAGAUCUAACUCUAGUUGACCCCAUAUCAACAUUUGGACUUCCAACAAGUUCAAAAAAAAAUUGACAGACACGUUAGUAGGAAAAACUCUUUUACUCAUUCUAGAUGACGUGUGGAACGAAAAUUAUUGUAAUUGGGAUCGUUUGCAGGCUCCUUUUAGUGUAGUGGCAAAAGGAAGCAAAGUCAUAGUUACAACACGUAAUAAAAAUGUUGCAUUGAUGAUGGGAGCUCUCUGGAAUGUUCAUGAACUAAACCCUUUAUCUGAAUAUAUGUGCUUGUUGGUCUAUGUUUGGGAAGCAUGCAUUUGAACAUAGAAAUAUCAAUGAUCAUCUGAACCUGGUGUCCAUUGGUAGGAAAAUUGUUGGCAAAUGUGGUGGAUUGCCGCUAGCUGCAAAAGGGUGUGGUGGUCUCUUACGCUCUAAGCAAAGCGAAGCCAAGUGUAAAAAAGUGUUGAAUAGCAAAAUGAGAGAUUUGUCAAGCACGGAAUGUGAGAUUCUUCCGAUUUUUUCAUCACUGGUCCUUAGCAUACACCAAUUCAAGUUGGUGGCACAAUGCUACUUUACUAAUAAAACAGUGGGUGGCAAAGGAACCAUCAGAGCCAUGGUUGGAUGGAGAGUACCAAGGAAAGGAAAAAAACAAAAAAAAAGUAAUAACUAGCCUUAUCAAUACAUCAAUUUACAAAUUUUUGAAGUACCUAAAAUAUUCUCAUUCUUUUCUUCCACAUUCAACUUUUAUUUUAUUUUCUUUUAUUUUUUUUCUCUUUUAAUCUUUUUCUUCUUAACAAAAUACCCUAAGAAAAAAAAUGUUUUUUAGGCUUAUCCUUUAUGUAAAUUUUGAUAAAAAAAAACUUAUAAAAAUAAUUAAAAAAUGAUUAGGAAGAAUUUAGAAAUAAUUUAAAAGUGAAAAGUUAUAAAAAGAAAAUGUAAGAAAAAUGAAAAAAAAAAAACCCUCAUUUCGUUGUGUUUGAAGCUGGAAAAGCCAUUCCCAUAUCACAUAAAUACUUCAACUUAAUGUGCCAAGGAGUGAUCUAGACUAGGAAGGUUGGACUAUAUUUUGAUGGUUGGACAAUAAAUAUUAAAUCUUGUUAAAUCUUGAAGUGCAUUUGAGAGUGUUUUUAAAAAACAUUAUUUCAAAAUUAUUUUUAAUAAAAAUUAAGUAUUUGAUAAAAUUUAUAAAAUAUUUUUAAAAUUAUUUAUAAUAUCAAAAAUCAUUUAUAAUGUUUUUCAAAGAAACAUUUUAUUAAAAAUAUUUUAAGUAAAAACUAUGUUUGAUAUUAAUUUUAAAAAAUAUUUAUAAUAUUUUUAACAUGAAAGGUAAAAGCUUUUGUAAUAAUUGAAAAUUUUUAAUAAAAAUAUUUCCUAAAAAGAUUGCAAGAGUAAAAAUAUUCGACUUUUAAGGGGGUGGGGAAUGAAUGUGUGCACAUCUCCGUAGUUUGGUUAUUUCGAUAAGGAUAUUUUUGUCCCAAAAGAAAUUAUUAUUAUUAAGAUAGAUGAAGAAAAAUUGAACGGAUGUAAACAUAAAUUCCCUAAAAAGAAUAUUAGAAUUAAUACCAUAAAAAGGUAAAAACAAGCCAAACGAGACCUUAGCGUAGAGUUCAAGGCUUGCCUUGAAUGAUGCCUUUACUGGAUCCCAACGGGUUUCGAUGCCUUUACCCUCUGCUGAAGCCUUCCCCACCGCAGAACCACUUUCACUUGGUUCCAUCUUCCCUUCUUACCUUUUGCUCUUUGUUUUCCUUUGCAGAACACCAUGGACAUUAUUGGAGACGCUCUUCUUUCCACUGUCAUUGAAUUCCUGUUUGACAAGUUGGCUUCCUCUGAUCUGAUGAAGUUCGCACGGCAUGAGGAUGUCCACACCGAGCUCAAGAAAUGGGAGAAGGAGUUGCAGAGCAUCCGGGAAGAGCUCAACGACGCGGAGGAAAAGCAGAUCACACAGGAGGCUGUCAAAUCAUGGCUGUUCGAUCUGAGGGAUUUGGCGUAUGACAUGGAGGACAUCUUGGACGAGUUUGCUUACGAAGUGAUGAGAAGAAAGCUGAUGGGGGCGGAAGCUGACGAAGCCAGCACAAGCAAAAUACGCAGGUUCGUUUCUAGUUGCUGUACUAGUUUCAAUCCAACUCAUGUGGUGCGUAAUGUCAAGACGGGGUCCAAGAUUAGACAGAUCACCAGCAGGUUACAAGAUAUUUCAGCUAGAAAAGCUAGAUUUGGCCUGGAAAAAUUGAGAGGAGCAGCAGCUACUUCCGCUUGGCAAAGGCCACCACCCACUACACCUAUGGCAUACGAACCUGACGUUUAUGGCAGGGAUGAAGAUAAAACACUGGUUCUUGAUAUGCUGCGCAAGGUUGAGCCCAAUGAAAACAAUGUUGGCCUCAUUUCCAUUGUUGGCAUGGGCGGGCUGGGCAAGACAACGCUCGCACGGCUUGUUUACAAUGAUGAUUUGGCCAAAAAUUUUGAACUAAGAGCAUGGGUUUGUGUGACUGAGGAUUUUGAUGUGGAGAAAAUAACAAAAGCAAUUCUCAAUUCGGUGUUAAAUUCUGAUGCAAGUGGGUCUUUGGACUUCCAACAAGUUCAAAGGAAAUUGACAGACACGUUAGCAGGGAAAACUCUUUUUCUCAUUCUAGACGACGUGUGGAACGAAAAUUAUUGUAAUUGGGAUCGUUUGCGGGCUCCUUUUAGUGUAGUGGCAAAAGGAAGCAAAGUCAUAGUUACAACACGCAAUAAAAAUGUUGCAUUGAUGAUGGGAGCUGCCGAGAAUCUUCAUGAACUAAACCCCUUGUCAGAAGACGCUUGUUGGUCUGUGUUUGAGAAGCAUGCAUGUGAACAUAGAAAUAUGGAAGAUCAUCCAAACUUGGUGUCCAUUGGGAGGAAAAUUGUUGGCAAGUGUGGGGGAUUGCCCCUAGCAGCAAAAGCCCUUGGUGGUCUCUUACGCUCUAAACAUAGGGAAGAAGAAUGGGAAAGAGUAUUGAAUAGCAAAAUUUGGGAUUUUUCAAGCGCGGAAUGUGAGAUUCUUCCUGCGUUGCGGUUGAGCUAUCACUAUCUCCCUUCAUAUUUGAAGGGGUGUUUUGCAUACUGUGCAAUCUUCCCCAAGGACUAUGAGUACGACUCAAAAACUUUGGUCCUCCUGUGGAUGGCUGAAGGUUUAAUUCAGCAACCAAACGCUGACAGCCAGACAAUGGAAGAUCUAGGAGACAACUAUUUUUGUGAAUUAUUGUCAAGGUCAUUUUUUCAAUCAUCAGGUAAUGAUGAAUCCCGUUUUGUGAUGCAUGAUCUUAUCUGUGAUCUCGCUCGAGUUGCUUCUGGUGAAAUAAGCUUUUGUUUGGAAGAUAACUUGGAAAGUAAUCAUCGAUCCACAAUUUCUAAAGAGACUCGUCAUUCAUCAUUCAUUCGUGGAAAAUUCGACGUGUUCAAGAAAUUUGAAGCCUUUCAAGAGUUUGAACAUUUACGAACAUUUGUGGCUUUACCAAUUCAUGGUACGUUUACAAAAUCUUUUGUAACUAGUUUGGUGUGUGAUCGUUUGGUGCCAAAAUUUCGACAGUUAAGAGUCCUCUCUUUGAGUGAAUAUAUGAUAUUUGAGCUACCAGAUUCUAUUGGUGGAUUAAAACAUCUGCGUUAUUUGAAUUUGUCUUUCACCCAAAUCAAAUUAUUGCCAGAUUCAGUGACCAACCUCUAUAAUUUACAAACAUUGAUACUAUCCAAUUGUAAGCAUCUUACAAGGUUGCCUUCCAAGAUCGGAAAUUUAAUUAGCCUUAGACAUCUCAAUGUUGUUGGAUGUUCAUUGCAAGACAUGCCACAGCAAAUAGGCAAAUUAAAGAAAUUGCAAACAUUGUCUGAUUUUAUUGUGUCCAAAAGAGGAUUUUUGGGAAUAAAGGAGUUGAAGGAUUUGUCACAUCUGCGGGGGGAGAUAUGUAUUUCAAAAUUGGAAAAUGUUGUGGAUGUUCAAGAUGCUAGAGAUGCCAAUCUAAAAGCUAAGCUCAAUGUUGAAAGGUUGAGUAUGAUUUGGAGUAAAGAAUUGGAUGGUUCGCAUGAUGAAGAUGCUGAAAUGGAAGUCCUUCUCUCUCUACAACCUCAUACUAGUUUGAAGAAACUCAAUAUUGAAGGUUACGGUGGUCGGCAAUUCCCCAACUGGAUAUGUGAUCCCUCUUACAUUAAAUUGGUGGAGUUAAGUCUUAUUGGUUGUAUAAGAUGCAUAUCAGUACCUUCGGUUGGGCAACUACCCUUCCUCAAGAAGUUAGUCAUCAAAAGAAUGGAUGGAGUGAAAAGUGUGGGGCUGGAGUUUGAGGGCCAAGUUUCUCUUCAUGCUAAGCCUUUCCAAUGCUUAGAGUCUUUGUGGUUUGAGGAUAUGAUGGAAUGGGAAGAGUGGUGUUGGUCAAAAAAGUCAUUUUCUUGCCUCCAUCAGUUGGAGAUAAAAAAUUGUCCAAGAUUGAUUAAGAAAUUACCCACACACCUAACUUCUCUAGUCAAGCUUAGUAUUGAGAAUUGCCCAGAAAUGAUGGUUCCACUUCCAACAGACUUGCCUUCUCUUGAAGAGCUCAAUAUUUAUUAUUGCCCAGAAAUGACGCCACAAUUUGACAACCAUGAAUUUCCCCUUAUGCCACUGAGGGGAGCAAGUAGAAGUGCAAUUGGCAUCACCUCACAUAUUUAUUUGGAAGUUAGUGGAAUAUCACAGCUUUCCAGACUUCAGCCAGAGUUUAUGCAGUCCCUUCCGAGGCUUGAACUUCUAGAAAUUGACAAUUCUGGUCAGUUGCAAUGUUUGUGGCUGGAUGGGUUGGGAUUAGGAAACCUCUCUCGUCUUCAAAUAUUGAGUUGUGACCAACUUGUGUCCUUGGGAGAGGAGGAGGAGGAAGAGCAAGGGCUGCCUUACAAUCUUCAGCAUUUGGAAAUACGUAAGUGUGAUAAGUUGGAGAAGCUUCCACGUGGAUUACAAAGCUAUACAUCUCUUGCAGAGUUGAUCAUCGAGGAUUGCCCAAAACUGGUGUCAUUUCCAGAGAAGGGUUUCCCACUCAUGCUUAGAGGUCUUGCUAUUUCUAAUUGUGAAAGUCUAAGUAGUCUACCUGAUAGGAUGAUGAUGAGAAACAGCAGCAACAACGUGUGUCACCUUGAAUACUUGGAGAUAGAGGAGUGUCCAUCUCUUAUUUACUUUCCACAAGGGCGGUUACCCACCACCCUUAGGCGACUACUCAUAUCCAAUUGUGAAAAACUAGAGUCUCUUCCAGAAGAAAUCAAUGCGUGUGCCCUUGAACAGUUAAUUAUAGAGAGGUGUCCAUCUCUCAUUGGUUUUCCAAAAGGUAAGCUACCCCCCACUCUCAAGAAGCUUUGGAUAGGAGAGUGUGAAAAGCUAGAGUCCCUACCAGAAGGAAUAAUGCAUCACCAUUCCAACAAUACAACCAAUUGUGGUCUUCAAAUCUUGGAUAUCUUGGAAGGUUCAUCUCUUGCAUCCUUUCCUACUGGCAAGUUUCCCUCUACCUGUAAAUCUAUUAUGAUGGAUAAUUGUGCACAGUUGCAGCCAAUUUCAGAGGAGAUGUUUCACUGUAAUAAUAAUGCACUUGAAGAGUUGUCCAUCUUGAGACUUCCUAAUCUCAAAACCAUACCAGAUUGCCUCUACAACCUCAAAGAUCUCCGGAUUGAAAAAUGUGAGAAUCUGGAUUUGCAGCCUCAUCUAUUGCGAAACCUCACUUCUCUUGCAUCACUUCAGAUCACUAAUUGUGAGAAUAUCAAAGUGCCCUUAUCAGAGUGGGGCCUUGCCAGAUUGACCUCUCUUAGAACUCUUACCAUUGGUGGCAUAUUUCUGGAAGCCACCUCCUUUUCUAAUCACCACCACCACUUUUUUCUUCUUCCUACUACUCUAGUUGAGGUUUGCAUUUCAAGUUUCCAGAAUCUGGAAUCCUUGGCCUUCCUGUCUCUCCAAACGCUCACCUCUCUUAGAAAGCUAGGUGUCUUCCAAUGUCCUAAGCUCCAGUCGUUUAUACCAAAGGAAGGGCUGCCUGACAUGCUUUCAGAACUGUAUAUAAGAGACUGCCCACUCCUAAUUCAAAGGUGCUCAAAAGAGAAAGGGGAAGAUUGGCCCAAGAUUGCCCACAUCCCCUGUGUGAAAAUAGAUGGCAAAUUGAUCCUUGAGCAAUAAGAAGUUGAGAUUGCAGCAAAAUGAACGCAGAGACCACCACUAUAUGUAAGUGCUUGGUAUUUUUCUUCAAUCUGCCACAAUUCCUUUUGUCAUUUGUUUAAUUUAUUGUUCCAAAUUUAUUUGUUUAAUUGAAUUGUCUUGCAUGUCUUCCACAGUUGAAACUCAUCCAAUGGAAAAAAAUCUCCUUCACCAAUGACUGGUUUGUCAUCCAUGCUAUAAAGUCUCAUGCUUGAUGGUUAUGAAGGUUAAAAAGUCAGUAUCUCAUUGACAAAACAACAACAACAAGAACAGAUUUAAUCAAAAAGGUAAGGGAACAAUUCAUGAAGACACUAGUUGUAACAAGACUAUAUGGUCUGCCUUUAUCACCCUAUCAUAGAGAUGAAUGAUCCAUCACCCUUAAUCACAUUAUGAUUUUUUGUUGCAGAAACUGGAGUCAAUGUUAGCAAAAAAAUUGCAGAUAAAACUUUCUUGAAAGCUUUUGUAGUUGUUUGAGUCAGAACUUUAUCUGGGGCCUCAUGACAUGCCUGUCGUUAGAUUGCAUAUCUACGCAACACGCAUAGGCUAUCAAUUCCCUUUCUAUUAGAAUCAAGUACGCCCAUUCAUUAUACAUAACUUUUUUCUUCUUAAGAAUUAGUUUCAAAAUGUUCAUUUUAAAGGAAUUCCAUUUCGUGCAUGUAGGGUGUGAAGGAGAAGAUAAUGCAAAUGGAAUCCAAUUCUCUAACCACAGGUCAGCCAGUUAACGUGAGUAUACUGUAUUUCAUUUAUGAUCUUUUUUGACUUUGUGCAUUUCAAUUGCAUUGUCCUCAAUAAGCUUUCUUUUCCCAUAUAUCUCUAUAUAAAGUUCUGCCUUUUUUUUUCCUUACGUACUCAUAGAUGUGCAUUUAUCAACAUAGGCUGUGUUCUUAAUGCUUUUAAACCUAUGACUUCACAUUUUUCCAUCACGGGAUUCUACCAUGUCUUUAUAAUUUUUCAUUUAUCAACAUGAUCUUUUUUCAACUCACAGGUUUUUCAAAUGAGUGAUAAAGAAUGCAGAUUGUUAGAUAUCACUUUUUUCUUUGUCCUCUUGAUUGCACUGCAUCUUUAUUUGGAAUCGGAUAUUUCUAUUUGUAACUUGUUUUUCGUGGGGUUUUUAAUUACAUUCCUUUUUACAAUAAUUCAGGAUUGGCCAUUUCUAAAAAAUAAUUGUUCUUCUUCUUGGUCUUCUCCUCAGUUAAUGCAGGCCUCAAAUUUCUACGUCUUUGUUAUAUCUGUAGAUAAUUUUCUGGUUUGAAUUGUACAAUACACUUAAAUAAUUCAAAGUUGCAGAAGUCUUGCUGGCUCACUAAUUACCAUCUCAUGUGGAUUUGGAAGAAAGGAAAUCUGCAACUUAAGAUACAAUGAGCUAUGAUCAUUCUUACAUUUUUAAAGCUUCUUCAUUUGUAUCAUAUGUUCUGAUGGCAUUUACUUUUUCUCAUUACACAUGCAUGAGGAAGAUUUUAUGACUUCCAUUAUAAGGUUUCAAUAACUAUAUUUGCAUUUUAUUUAUUUCAAGUAGAUGCAGGGGUGAAAAUUAUUUUGCCUGUUUCUUGACAUUUGGCACUUAAAACUCUACACUGGUGUUUGGUGUUUAAAAAGGGUUACUUCAUGCAGAUAAUGAAAGUAUAAAUAGUUCUUUACCAUAAAAAAAAAGCUUCAUGGUUGUUAAGAUCCAUCUAAUUCUUUGUCCUUUUAUUGAUAUGUUCUUCAACUUGUGGAAGACUUGGAAGGGGGAGCUUGAAUUAAAUUAAGCCAACACCUUGCAAAAGAUGAAUUCUGGCUAAGAAACCUCACUACUCACAAGUUCUUUCUUAUCCAAGACUUCUACAGCAGGUAAUUUGAGAUUAUGGUCUCAUAUUUGUAUUUCUUCAUGCUGAUGCGCUCACUGAUUUCACUCUCGUGUUUUCAUCUGAUGGUGACAACUCUUCCUCCUCUAUGCAGCCAUUAUGUAAUAAUAAUCAGAGCUUUGUGUCACUGACUGUUUGUUUGGUGUUUGUUACCGUAGUGAAGGUGCUGAUCAAGAAUACUAUGUUGACUUGUUUGAGCUGAAUGUAAUGGGAAUUGCUCCAGGGAAAGGGCGUGUAUGUGAUGUUGGAAUGCUUCUUCAAAGUUCAGGCAGGCCGACCCAGUUAUGUUUGGGGAGCUUGUCGCUAGUUAAAGACUUGACAAUGAAGAAGACCUUAGCCAUCUCCUACACAAACUGGUCGGGAGUUGGAGCCGUUCCCCUGAUGAGUCCAUGGCAGGACGAAACCAGUCAGCAUAGUGGGAUUGAAAUGCAUGGUGUGCAGGCUGAUCCCCUUUGAUUCUUGCCCAUGGGGUUGCCGCAUGGGCCAUGCCGCUGCGUUGGAACUCUAGGCUCGUGAUAUCUGUCUUGCUUGAGUUCAAGCGAAGCUUUCUGAUUGAUCAACAUGCUUCUGAUUAUCCUUCUGCUUAUCAAAAAGUUGCAGCUUGAAAAUGUGAAGGCGAAGGUAGUGAUUGCUGCUCAUGGAUUUGGUAGAGUGUGACAAUGACACUGGUCAUGUGAUUGGCCUUAACCUUGGCAGCAGCCGUCUCUGUGGUUCUAUCAACUCCAGCAGCACCUCUUCCACCUUGUGCAUCUUCAAGGGCUUGAUCUUUCUGAUAAUGAUUUCAGUUACUCUAAGAUCCCAUCUGGAGUUGUCCAGCUUUUUAGUCAAGAAAUCUAAACCACUCGUCUGGAGCUCUUAGUGCUGUCCAAACUGGUUGUCCUCGAUCUCUCACAAAAUCCAUUGAAGCGCCAGUAACCUGACCUGGCUUCACAUGCAGGGGUGAGAAGCAUUUCCUUCUUGUAAUACAAAAUGCUUUUGGGAGGUUGGUUGUAUCAUUCCUGGUGAAUGGUGAUUUCCCCUGUCAAAUUGGUACACUUUCAGACUUGAUCUCUUGCAUAUCAUUGGAGAACCUUUGUCUUUUUUCUUUUUCCUCAAUAUUGUCUUUAGAAAGAUUUUAACUAAAAGUAUUGUGCAAUUUCAUUUGAAAAAAUUUUCAAAUCCUCCUCUGUGCAGACCCCUGAUAUUAGGAAUAUGGUGGUUUAUGUUGGAAUACACGUUUUUCUCUCUAAAUCCUUGAACCCAGUGUAUCAAUAUCUCAGACAUUUCUUUUUGUUGACAGAUAUAUGCUGGAAAUAUGAUAGGGUGAUGAAGGCCAAGGAACCACUGUGGUGUUGAUUUGGAGAUCAAUCAGUGAAAGGUUCAGAUGAUUUCUUUUCUAGUUUCUUCUGAUUUAGGUAGAUUAAGAGGUAUCCUUAUGGUUGCAAAUUCUUCUGACCUAAAGCUUAAGCGAUCCUUUGGUGAAACAAAACAUAAUCCAGGAACAUUCCCUCCUUCAGUCACUGUUGCUAGCUUUCAGGAUGCUGACAGCAUUUACAGUAGUAAUAAAUAAAUGGUACCCUGCUUUCCGUAGUGAUCAUGUUAGAGUAGGAUUUUUUUUAUUUGACCUCUACAGGUGGCUUUUGCUGAGAAGUAAAAGUCAUUACUCAGGGCAGGUUCCUUUUCCUGAACCUGAGCAUUUUUUACUGAAGAUGAUGAAUUGAGACUGGAAUCUACUUCCAUUUUUGACAACCCGGGAAGGUAACAUUUUUCAAGCAAUGGCAUAAACAAUCUGUGGUGUUGGUCCAUCUUUCCUAAAUUAAAUAUUUUGUGAUGGAAGUAGGUUACUACAACUUGUUCUUUGUUUCUGCCAACAAAACUGAUGUGCUGGAUUGGAGUUGAGGAUUUUUUUUUUAUUCCUUCAUAAUUGUUUGAGUGUGUUUGUGAUUCAUUCUUGAAUGAUUUUCUUCCCCUUUUACCUGAGUUUACCAAUAUGUUAGACUCUCCUAGGGAACAUGUUCAUACACUAGAUUGUGGACAAUAAUAAUAAAUAAAAAUAUUUAAAUGAAAGCAUGUCAGAUCUUAUAUCCCUAAAAUGAUCUUCUAUUUGCAACUAAAGUAGCCUCAUUUCGAACAUUGUGAGUAAAAUGGGCUUGUUUCAGUUUUUAGAACAAAGCUGAAGGAACCUUCAUAAUUUCAUUCCAUGGAGUCCUCAAUCAAACCCUAAGUUUUCUUAAAGAUGAGGUUUAUAGUAGGUGAGAGGAGGGGUAAUGAUUUCAGAAUGUUCUGCCUGUUUGGAGCCAUUUAUGUUUCCCUCGGUUUUCUUAAUCUAAUCAUUUGUGUCUUGUCAUAUAUAUUUUUAUUCAGUUCACAGUUGAAGUAAUGUAAAUCACUGAUUGCUAGCUUGCUUCACACAGAUACAUGCAAGUCACUGAAGCUAAAUGAAGGUCGUGUUUUGAUGUUUUCAUGUAAACUUGGAAGGAUCACGAUGUAAUACCUCAAAAUGUCAAGAAGUAAGUAAUAUCUGUCCUCUGCAUGUACAUUUUAGUGUUAAUCAUUUCUCAUUAGUAUCUAGGAUUCUUACUUGAUAGUUAAAGAAGUUCGCAUUUCAGUUGUGUCUUGUAGAUCAUGCUUUUGGAAGCUAGUCACAACCCCAAAGCUGGAGUGCUUCAUCUAUAUAUGUCCCCUGUGAACUCCCAAUUCCCAAACAGGGCAUUGUAUAUUGUAUGCCUAUCCUAGAGUUCUAUCAGAUGGAUGGAAAGCCAAUCAUGAAGAAAUAUAAAAACAAGGCUGUCUUAUGUAUAUGGGUUGCAACCUGCUGUUCUGUGGGACAAGCGAUCCAAUAGUCAAGAGGAAGGUAGUUGCUGAGAAUGAAUAUGGAAGAGAGCAUUUAUAGAAAAUUUGAAGUUCAAAAACUUGAGGACCAGAUUACCUGUCGAACUUGAGAAAAGGGCAUAUCAAACCACACUCAAAACAAGUGAAAUAUUAUUUGUCUGAUGAUGUUGACUUGAGACAUGGGUGGAGUAUUGAGGAUCAUUCACUGAAUUCCUAAUGUAAAACACAAGCAAGUCUUGCCUAUAUCAUUCAUGGUUGCUGGAUUUGUUGUUCAUUGUAUUUAUCACAAAGCUACCUCUUAUUCUCAACAAAUCAUUUACCUUCAAUCGGAAAUUCAUAUUCUUGUGCUCUAUAAUUUUGUUUGGUUGUAAGUUAAAAAGAAGAAAUUGAAAGAAAAACUCGUAUUGUUUGGUUGCGAUUAAAUUUGUUUUCAGGUUUAUUUUAAAUUUUUAUAUAAUUUUUUUUAAAAAGAUGUAAGAAUAAUUUAGUAUUGUUUAAAUACAUUUAUAUUAUAAAAUAUGAGAUUCUAUACUACUGUGGUAACUUGUGGAUGAUCAUCCAUAAAUAUCUUUUAUAACUCUUUAUAAAAGGGAGAGACCCCUAAUGAAAUUGUAGAGAGUUAUCUUGUGCAUUCUAUUUUUUUUUUUUUUUCUUCUCUCACUUUGUUUUACAAUAAUUUACUAUUUUUUAUUUUUAAAUUAAAAAGUAAAAAAAAUUAUAUAAGAUACAAGAAUUUUUAGAAAAUUAUAUUUAAAAAAUUAAUAGUAUUAAAAAAUUAAGGUUUAUUUUUGUAUUUUUUCAUAUUUUAAUAUUUUUAAAAGUAAUUUUUAAAAAAUAUAAGACAAAUUUAUAUAAAUAUAAAGUGUUCUACUUCUAUAUAGAUAUUUAUAAUUUUUUAAAAAUAGAAAAUAUAUUAAAUGGCCUAAACUUGUAUUUAAAAACAAAUUUAAGAAAACAUGGUUAAUUGGGUCAUUUUUUCUUUUUAUUUUUAAAAAUUGAGAAAACAAUUUUUUUUAAAAUUAUUUUUUAUUUUACUUUAUUUUUAAAAAUUACUUUUAGAGAACAAUUAACAAACAUUAUUAGAAAAUUUAAAAAACAGCUUUCUAUUUUUUAAAAUAGAAAACUGCUUUUAAACCACACGUCCAAAUAAAUUCUUAGCUUUUUAUUUUAAUUCCUUGAAAACAAUAUUUUAAAAUAAAAAUUAAUAUUAAGCUAAUAAUAUUAUUUUCUCAACUUAUCAACAUUUAAAAGUACUGAAAUCUAUUCAGAAAAUCAUUAAUAAUAAAAAUCACAAAUAUUAAAUGUGUUAAGGGAAAAUUCUAGGGUACUUCCUAUGGUAUCGUACCCAAAAGUUUUUAAGCCAUUGGAUGUCCAAGAUUACAUCUUGGUCAUCCAUUUUAAAUUUGAAAUAAAAAUUCCACUUAACCGGUUAAGGGAAGAACCGGUUGUGGCCUUCCACCGUCUCCUUUAAUUUCUUCCUUUAUUCUCAACAAUUUUGGAUUUAAAUAAAAUAAAUCUGAGAUAAAUAUUGAGAUAAAAAUAGAAUUGGAAAAAAAUAAAAAUAAAAUUGAUAUAAAAUUUGAAAACGUAUUUAUUAAUAAAAAAAUCAUCAUAUAUCAUGAUUACAUUAUUUUAUUUUUAACAAAUUAUUAAACAUUUAAAUUCAACAUAAAAAUGAAUAUGAUAAUAUCUUAAUAUGAAAUAAGUAUUUUCAGUAAAAUUCGACAUUUAGAUAAUCAUAUGUAAAGCUUAGGUAAUUACAUCAUCCUAAUUUUAUCCGUACUCUCAAAAUUUUACAUUUUUUGAAUUUAAGGUUUUUAAAUUUAAAUUACAAUAAAAUAAAUUACUAAUACUCUUUUGAGUUACUAAUGAUAGUAUUUUAGAAAAUAAAUUUGUAAUUUCAAAAAUUUGAAAACUAAAAAUCAAUAUGAAAAAUGUGAUUAAAGUACCAAACAUGUAUUUAUCAUGGUUUUAAAAAUGAGAUCGGACUGGCUGGUUCAAACAAUAGCCGGUCACGGUUCCGAACCGGUUUGGUUAAUUAGACUGGAAAUAGAUUGAACCAGGAUUGAACCGAUUGAACCAGGAUCGGUCCGGUUGAACCGGUGGUCCGACCGGUGAAUCAGUAUUAAUGCUUUUGACAUCAAAACAACGUCGUUUUGGAGGAUAUAAAGCCUCAUUCUCCAAACCCUCCCUUUCUAAACUGCAGCUGCAGCCCGCCCCCAACACGCCGCGAUAGGCUCCCAUUGUUGGUCGUUUCAUCGUGCAAAGUCUCCCUCCACCGGCCUUUGCAAGAUCACCGUCGCUUGAGUCGCAUUUUCCCCGUCACGCUGUUGCGAGUUGGCAAGCCACCCCCUACCGCUGGAACCCCAGCUGUAAACCCUCUCCGACAGGCUGUAACCUCCCUCCCUCCCGGAUGUAAACCCCCCCACCUCCCUGCGCUGUAAAGCCCCCCCCUUCCAAUCUUGCCUUCCUUCCAUUUUUGUUUUUAAAAAUUUAAUUUUUAUGUUUUAUAUUUAAUAUCUUAAUAUUUAAUUUCUUAAUUUUUUUGUAGAUUAUAAUUGUAAUGAUAGCUUUAAUAUUUAAAUUUUUCAUUUUUAUUUUAUUUAUUUCACAUUGAAAUUUUAAUUUAUUGAAAUUAUUGAAAAUAUUGGGUUGUUGAUGAUAAAAUUUAGAUAGAAUUUAUUAUUUUUAUUUAUUUAUUUUUAAUUUUAAUAAUUAAUAUAUAUAUAUAUAUAUUAAAAAUUUUCAUUUUUAUUUUAUUUAUUUCACAUUGAAAUUUUAAUUUAUUGAAAUUAUUGAAAAUAUUGGGUUAUUGACAAUAAGAAAAACUUUAUAAAAAAAAUCAAUAGAUAUUAUUAAAUUUUAGAUAUAAUUUAUUAUUUUUAUUUAUUUAUUUAUAAUUUUAAUAAUAUAUAUAUAUAUAUAUAUAUAUACUGGUUCGACCGCCAAUCCAAUCAGUGAACCGUGAACCGGUAACUUUUUCGGUUCGAUGACCGGUCUAGUUCUAAAAACAUUAGUAUUUAUCAUAUUUUUCGUACCCUAAAUUAUUUAUAUUUUUAAAAUUUUAGAUUUACUUUUUAACUUGAAAUGACAAUAACAUAGUUUAAUAAUAUUAUUUUAAGUUAUUAUUGAUAGAAUUGUUACAAAAAAAAAUUAAAAAAAUUAAAAAUUGGAAAUGAGGUAAAUUAUCCUUAAAAAAAUUUAGAAAAUUAAAACACUAAAAAAUUAGGAAGGAUACGAAAAAUGUGAGAAAAUGUAUGAAGAUUAUGAGGAAUCUUUAGAUUCUCUGUACCCUUCUUCACAAUAAUAUUGUUUAUUGAUACCAAUUAAGCUUAGAAAUGAUGAAAAUUAUUUUUAAAAAAAUAAAAAAUUUAAAACACUAAGUAAUCGUAGAGGGUACAAAUAAUGUGAGCAAUCCUCACAUUCUUCAUACCUUACCUCACAUUCUCCGUAUACUGAAAUUUAACAAAUUUUAGAAUUUUUUUUCCACUUAAAAAUACAAAUAAUAUUGUUUAUUGAUACUAAUCAAGCUUAGAAAUGAUGGAAAUUAUUUUCAAAAAUAAUUAAAAAAUUAAAACACUAAGUAAUUGUAGAAGGUACGAAUAAUGUAAGGAAUGGUACAAAGAAUGUGAGGAAUCCUCACAUUCUUAGCACCCUCUAUCACAUUCUCUUUACCCUCGAAAAUGUUACAAAUUUUCAAACUUUUCAAUUUUUUUUUUCCAUAUGGAAAUACAAUAAUAUUGUUUAUUGAUACUAAUUAAGCUUAGAAAUAAUGAAAAUUACCCUUAAAAGAAAUUAAAAAAAUUAAAGCAUUAAAAAUUUGGAGAUGGUACGAAGAAUGUGAGGAAGGGUACAAAGAAUGUAGGAAAUUCUCACAUUUUUCGUACCCUUCCUCACAUUUUUCAUACCAUUUCUCACAUUCUUUAUACUCUUGAAAUUUGACAAAUUUUCGAUUUUUCCACUUAAAAAUACAAUAAUAUUGUCUAUCAAUACUAAUUAAGCUUAGAAAUGAUGAAAAUUAUCCUAAAAAAAAUUUUAAAAAAUUAAAACAUUAAAAAAUUGGAAAAGUACGAAGAAUGUGAGGAAGGGUAUGAAGAAUGUGAUGAUUGAAGAAUGUGAGAAAUCCUCAUAUUCUUCAUACUACUUUUCACAAUGUUUUGUACCCCUUCUUACAAUGUUCGUACCCCAUCUCAUAAUGUUUGUACCCCCUCACAUUGUUCGUACCUCAUCUCACAAUGUUCAUACAAUUUCUCAUAAAGUUCGUACCCUAUCUCACAAAGUUUGUACCCCAUCUCACAAAGUUUAUACCCCAUCUCACAAAGUUCGCACCCCUUCUCACAAUGUUCGUACCCCUCUCACAAUGUUCGUACCCCAUCUUACAUUGUUUGUACAUCAUCUCAUAAUGUUCGUACCAUCUCUCACAAAGUUCGUACCAUAUCUCUUAAAGUUUGUACCCCAUCUCAUAAAGUUCGUACACCACUAUCACAAAUGUUGUAUCACAUUUCACAAUGUUCGUACCACAUAUCACAAUGUUCGUACCAUCUCUCAUAAUGUUUGUAUCCCCUCUCAAAAAGUUCGUAUCCCUUCUCACAAAGUUCAUACUACAUCUCACAAAAUUCGUACUCUCUCAUAAUAUUUGUACCCUUUCUCACAAUGUUUGUACCCCAUCUCACAUUGUUUGUACAUUUUCUCAUAAUUUUUGUACCAUUUCUCACAUUGUUCGUACCAUCUCUAACAAUUUUUUGUACCCCAUCUCACAUUGUUCGUACACCCUAUCACAAUGUUCGUAUCCUCUCUCACAAUAUUUGUACAUUUUUUUUUACAUUAUUCGUACCCUCUUUUCACAUUGUUUGUCAUUCUUCUCACAUUGUUUAUACCCUCUUUAACAUGACAUUUCCACCUACAAAAUUUAUAUUUAAAUAAAAAAAAAUCAAAUUUUAACUUUAAUACUUGUAAUCAAUUGGAAUCCUUCAUAUAAUAUCUUUUCAAGAGACAAAAAUUAUUGUUUUCCUUCUUCAAGAUAUAUAAAACUUCAUCUUCAAAUUUAAUCUAUGAAUGCACAAAAUAAUAACAUAAAAAUAUUGAUGACGAUUUCAUAACAAAUGACUAAAUUGUGUCAAAUUGAUUAAUAAUAACUCAUAAAAAAAUUCAAAAAUCUAAAUGUUAUAAAUCAUUACAUAAUUAAAUGUCAUUUAACAUGACAUUUCUACCUACAACAUUUAUAUUUAAAUGAAAAAAAAAAUCAAAUAUUACCUUUUAACACUUAUAAUCAUCUUCCUCAAGAUAUAUAAAACUUCAUCUUUAAAUUUAAUCUAUGAACACACAAAGAAAUGAUAUAAAAAUACUAUAAAAAAGAUUAAAUUAUCUUAAUUUGAUUAAUAAUAAACUCAUAAAAAUGCUAAAAUUUAAAUUUUAUAAAUCAUUGUAUAUUCGGUAUUUAACAUAAUAUUUCUACCUACAAAAUUUAUAUUUAAAUAAAAAAUUAUUAAAUAUUACCUUUGACACUUGUAGUCACUUGAAAUCCUUCAUCUUCUUCAUAGAAUACAAAUUUUAAAUUUUCUUCCAAAUUUGAUUUAUCAAAACACAUCCCACAUAUUUUGUAAUAUGGUAGUAUUUAAUUUUCAUAUUAAAUUAGAUAAUACUUUUUUGUAUAUAUGAAUAAUGAGAUUAUAAGGGUAGUUGAUAAGAUUUUUUUAGAUAGAGUUAGGUAGUUCAUUAAAUAACAAAUUAUAUUUGAUAUUUAAUAAUAAAUUAUGAAAAAAAAAGUCUUAAUAUUUGGAUAUGUAUGAACAUCAAUAGGUUACUUUUUUUGGGUUUAAUAAGUUUUUGUAAAUUUUAUAAUGACAUGCAUUUUAUACGUGUCAUUUUAUUAUAGGGGUGAAAUGUGGGUGGUAACCCGAAAUAAAGAGUGGGUACCAAAGAACAACCCAUGUGUUUAGAAUUUAUAAAAUUAAAAAAACCAUCCAAACGGCACAUUAGUGCGGAGCUUCGAUAAUUGUGGAGGCAGUCACGGACGCCCUGCUCUUCUUUUUAUUCAGCCGUGUGCCAUGGCGGCCAUCGGAAUGCUACGCGUUUCCCCCUUUACUCUCUGAUUGCUGAAGCUUUCACAGCACAAAACCUCUUUCAUUUGGCGUAUGACAUGGAGGACAUCUUGGACGAGUUUGCUUUCGAAUUGAUCAUGAGAAGGAGCUGAUGGGGGCGGAAGCUGAAGAAGCCAGCACAAGCAAGGUGAGCAGGUUCAUUCCUAGUUUCUGUACUUGUUUCAAUCCAACUCAUGUGGUGCGUAAUGUUAAGAUGGGGCCCAAAAUUGGAGAGAUCACCAGCAGAUUACAAGAUAUUUCAGCUAGAAAAGCUGGACUUGGCCUGGAAAAAUUAAGAGGAGCAGCAGCUACUUCCGCUUGGCAAAGGCCACCACCCACUACACCUAUAGCAUACGAACCUGACGUUUAUGGCAGGGAUGAAGAUAAAACACUGGUUCUUGAUUUGCUGCGCAAGGUUGAGCCCAAUGAAAACAAUGUCAGCGUUAUUUCCAUUGUUGGCUUGGGCGGGGUGGGCAAGACUACGCUCGCACGGCUGGUUUACAAUGAUGAUUUGGCCAAAAAUUUUGAACUAAAAGCGUGGGUUUGUGUGACUGAUGUGUUUGAUCUGGAGAAUAUAACAAAGGCAAUUCUCAAUUCGGUGUUAAAUUCUGAUGCAAGUGGGUCUUUGGACUUCCAACAAGUUCAAAGGAAAUUGACAGACACGUUAGCAGGGAAAACUCUUUUACUCAUUCUAGAUGACGUGUGGAACGAAAAUUAUUGUAAUUGGGAUCGUUUGCGGGCUCCUUUGAGUGUAGUGGCAAAAGGAAGCAAAGUCAUAGUUACAACAUGCAAUAAAAAUGUUGCAUUGAUGAUGGGAGCUGCCAAGAAUGUUCAUGAACUAAACCAUUUAUCCGAAGACGAUUGUUGGUCUGUGUUUGAGAAGCAUGCAUUUGAACAUAGAAAUAUCAAUGAUCAUCCGAACCUGGAGUCCAUUGGUAGGAAAAUUGUUGCCAAAUGUGGUGGAUUGCCACUAGUAGCAAAAGAGCUUGCUGGUCGAUUACGCUCAAAGCAAAGGGAAGCCGAAUGGGAAAGCGUAUUGAAUAGCUAAAUGUGGGAUUUGUCAAGCGCGGAAUGUGAGAUUCUUGGUGCGUUGCAGUUGAACUAUCACAAUCUCCCUUUGUUGAAAUUAUAAUCUGACUUAAAGUCAAAUUAGAAGAAUUUUAGGAAUUUGAGAAAUAUUAGGAAUUGUUAUUUAUUUAAGUUUCUUAUGUUAAUCAGGACUUGGGUCUAAUAGAAAUUGAAGUCCUAAUACAAGUAUAAUUAGUUUAUUGUAAAUAGGCUUGUUAUUAUGUUGAAAAGUGAAAUGUAAUAAAAUUUUAUUUUUAACAAAGUUGCAAACAUUAAGGGGUGAAUUUGAGUCUCUUUGCAUGAAUGACUCUAAAUCUAUCUCAGAUUACUUUGAUUAGGUACAAACCAUUGUUAACCAAAUACAGGUUAAUGGUGAAAAGCUUGAUGAUCAACAAAUAGUAGAGAAAAUUAUGUGCUCUUUAAGUGCAAGAUUCGACUAUGCUGUUGCAGCAAUUGAAGAAGGAAAGGAUAAUUGUUCUUCUCCUUGGUCUCCUCCUCAGUUAGUGUAAGCAUCAAAUUUCUACCUCUUUGUUAUGUCUGUGGAUAAUUUUCUGGUUUGAAUUGUAAAGCACACUUAAAUAAUUCAAAGUUGCAGAAGUCUUGCUGGCUCACAACUUACCAUCUCAUUUGGAUUCCCAAGAAAGGAAAUCUGCAACUUGGGAUACAAUGAGCUAUGAUCAUUCUUACAUAUUUAAAGCCUUCUUCAUUUGUAUCAUAUGUUCUGAUGGCAUUUCCUUGUUCUGAUGGCAUUUCCUUUUUCUCAUUAGAUAUACAUGUGGAAGAUUUUUUGACUUCCAUUAUAAGUUUUCAAUAACUAUUGUUGCAUUUCAUUUUAUUUCAAGGAGAUUCAGGGGUGAAAUUCUUUUGCAUGUGUCUUGACGUUUGCCACUUAAAACUCUACAAUGGUGUUUGGUGUUGAAAAAGGGGUACUUCAUUGCAGAAUAAUGAAAGUAUAAAUAGUUCUUUACCAUAAAAAAAAGCUUCAUGGUUGUUAAGAUCCAUCUAAUUCUUUGUCCUUUUCUUGACAUGUUCUUCAAUUUGUGGAAGACGUGGGAGGGAAAGCUUGAAUCAAAUUAAGCCAACUCCUUGCAAAAGACGAAUUCUGGCUAAGAAACCUCACCACUUACAAGCUCUUUCUCAUCCAGGAAUUCUACAGCAGGUAAUUCGAGAUUAUGUCUCAUCUUUGUAUCUCUUGAAGCUGAUGCACUCACCGAUUUCACUCUCAUGUUUUCAUCUGAUGGUUACCAACUCUUCCUCUUCUACACAGCCAUUAUGUGAUAAUAAUCAGAGCUCUGUCUUGCUUGAGUUCAAGCAGAGCUUUCUGAUUGGUCAGCAUGCUUCUGAUGAUCCUUCUGCUUAUCCAAAUGCUGCAGCUUGGAAAUCUGAAGGAGAUGGUAGGUACUGCUGCUCAUGGGAUGUCGGAGAGUGUGACAAGGACACUGGCCAUGUGAUCAGCCUUAACCUUGGCAGCAGCCGUCUCUUGGUUCUAUCAACUUCAGUAGCACCUUCUUCCGCCUUGGGCAUCUUCAAGGGCUUGAUCUCUCUGAUAAUGAUUUCAAUUACUCUAUAUCACUUCUGGAGUUGUCCAGCUUUUGAGUCUAAGAAGUCUACACCACCCCUUUUCCAGAUGCUCCGGCCAAAUCCCAUUGAAGCUCUUACUUAGAACUGUCCAAACUGGCUGUCCAUGAUCUCUCACAAAAUCCAUUGAAGCACCAGUAACCUGACCUGGCUUCAGAUACAGGGGUGAGAAGCAUUUCCUUGUUGCAAUACAAGCUGGUUGUAGCAUUCCUGGUGAAUGGUGAUUUCCCCUGUCAAUUUGGUGCACUUUCAGACUCAAUCACUCUUGCAUGUCAUUGGAGAACCUUAAUAUUUUUUUGUUCUUCCUCAAUAUUUUGUUUUUAGAAAGAUUUUAACUAAAAGUAUCUUGCAAUUUCAUUUGAUUUUUUUUUUUAAAUCCUCUGCAGACCCCUAAUAAUAGGAAUAAGGUGGUUUAUGUUGGAAUACAUAAUUUCUCUUCAAAUCCUUGAACCCAGUGUACCAGUUUUUCAAACAUUCUCUUUGUUAACAGACUUAUGCUAGAAAUAUGAUAGGGUGAUGAUGACCAAGGAACCACUUUGGUGUGGAUUUGGAUAUCAAUCACUAAAAGGUUGGGAUGAUUUCUUUUUCUAGUUUCAUCUGAUUUAGGGUAGAUUAAGAGGUAUCCUUAUGGUAGCAAAUUCUUCUGACCUAAAGCUUAAGCGAUCCUUUGGUGAAACAAACAUAAUCCAGGAACAUUCCCUCUUUCAGUCACUGUUGUUAGCUUUCAGGAAGCUGACAGCAAUUUUUACAGUAAUAAAUAAAUGGUACCCUGCUUCCAUAGUGACCAUGUUAGACUAAGAUUUAAUUCAUCAACCUCUACAGGUGGCUUAUGCAGAGAAGUAAAAGACAUUACUCUGGGGAGGUUCGUUUUCAGGGUUUCUGUGUGGGAUGGAUGGACCUAAACUCGAGCAUUUUAGACCGAAGGUGAUGACUGGAGACUGGAAUCUACUUCCCUUUUUGAAACCUGCGAAGUUACCAUUUUCAAGCAAUUGCAUAAAAAAUAUGUGAGGUUCAUGGUUGAAGUAAUGCAAAUCACUGGGUGCUUGCAUGCUGCACAGAGGUUGUGUUUUCUCAUAAACUUGGAAGGGUCACAUUGUAGUGUCGAUCAUUUCUCAUUAGCAUCUGGCAUUCUUACUCGAUAGUUAAAAAGGUUCACAUUUCAGUUGUGUCUUGUGGAUCAUGGUUUUGGAAGCUAGUCACAACCCAAAAGCUGGAGUGCUUCAUCUAUAUAUGUCCCUGGUGAAAUCCCAAUUCCCAAACAGGGCAUUGUAUAUUGUAUGCCUAUCCUAGAGUUCUAUCAGAUGGAUGGAAAGCAAAUCAUGAAGAAAUAUAAAAACAAGGCUUUCAUAUGUAUAUGGGUUACAAGCUGCUGUUCUGUCAGACAAGUGGUCCAAUAGUCCAGAGGAAGGUGGCUGUUGAGAAUGAAUAUGGAAGAAGAGCAUUUAUAGAAAUUUUGAAGUUCAAAAACUUGAGGACCAGAUUACCUGUAGAACUUGAGAAAAGGACAUAUCAACCACACUCAAAACAGGUGAAAUAUUAUUUGUCUGAUGAUGUUGACUUGAGACAUUGCUCUUAUUGCCAACAAAUCAUUUACCUUCAAUUGGAAAUUCAUAUUCACGUGCUCUAUAAUUUUGUUUGGUUGUAAGUUAAAAAGAAGAAAUUAAAAGAAAAACUCACAUCGUUUGGUUGCGUUUAAUUAUUUUUUUUAGGUUCAUUUUUAAAGUUUGAAAUAAAUUUUUUUUAAAAAAAUAUAAGAAUAGUUUACUGUUGUUUAUUUUUUUAAAAUUAAAAAAGAAUAAAUUUUUUUAUAUAAAAUACAAUAAUUUUUUUUAAGAAUUGCAAUAAAAAAUUAAUUCUCUUAAAAAGGGUUUAAAAAAUUAAUGUGUAUUUUUUUAUUUUCUCUUAUCUUAAUAAUUUUUUAAAGUAAUUUUUUAAAAAAUAGAAAAUAUAUUGAAAGGGUUACUUAGCUUUUUAUUUUAAAUGCUUUAAAACAAAAUUUUAAAAUAAAAGUUAAUAUUAAGCUAAUAAUAUUAUUUCUUAAAUUAUCAACAUUUAAAAUUACAGAAAUCUAUUCAGAAAAUCAUCAAUAAUGAAAAUCACAAUUCACAAGUAUUAAAUGUGUUUAAUAUUUAUAAAAUAAAAAUAAAUAAAUAAAUAAACCAUCCAAACAGCAUCUUAGUGCGGCGCUCCAAUAAUUAUGAAGAGCUGUCAUGAAUGGCAUGCUUUGCUUUUACUUGAGCCGUGGCCAUGACGACCUUGGAAUCCUACGCGUGUUGACCCGUUUACUUCGGAUUGCUGAAGUCUUCACACCACACAAUUUCCAUCCUCCCUUCUCUACUCUCUGCUCUUUGUUUGCCUUUGCUGAACACCAUGGCAGUUGUUGGAGAGGCUCUUCUUUCCGCUGCCUUUGGCUCGUUGUUUGACAAGUUGCGUUGCUCUGAUCUGAUUAAGCUCGCACGGCAGGAGCAUGUCCACACCGACCUCAAGAAAUGGGAGAAGCAGUUGCAGAGCAUCCGGCAAGAGAUCAACGACGCGGAGAAGAAGCAGAUCACACAGGAGGCUGUCAAAUCAUGGCUGUUUGAUAUGACGGUUUUGGGAUAUGACACGGAGGAUAUCUUGGACGAGUUUGCUUACGAAUUGACGAGGAGAAAGCUGAUGGGAGCGGAAGCUGAAGAAGCCAGCACAACCAAAGUACGCAAGUUCAUUCCUAGUUGCUGUACUAGUUUCAAUCCAACUCAUGUGGUGCGUAAUGUCGAGACGGGAUCCAAGAUUAGAGAUAUCACCAGCACAUUACAAGAUAUUUCGGCCAGAAAAGCUGGACUUGGCCUAGAGAAGGUGACAGCAGCAGCAGCUACUUCCGCUUGGCAAAGGUCGCCACCCACUACACCUAUAGCGUACGAACCUGGGGUUUAUGGCACGGAAGAGGAUAAAAAAGUGAUCCUCGAUUUGCUGGGCAAGGUUGAGCCCUAUGAAAACGAUGUCGGCUUCAUUUCCAUUAUUGGAAUGGGUGGGGUGGGAAAGAACGCUCGCGCAGUUUGCUUUGGUGAAAUAUGCUUUUGUUUGGAAGAUAACUUGGAAAGUAAUCGACAAUCCACAAUUUCUAAAGAGACUCGUCAUUCAUCGUUCAUUCUUGGAAAAUUCGAUGUGUUCAAGAAAUUUGAAGCCUUUCAAGAGUUUGAACAUUUACGGACAUUUGUGGCUCUACCAAUUCAUGGUACGUUUACAGAAUCUUUUGUAACUAGUUUGGUGUGAGAUCAUUUGGUGCCAAAAUCUCGACAGUUAAGAGUCCUCUCUUUGAGUGAAUGUAUGAUAUUUGAGCUACCAGAUUCUAUUGGUGGAUUAAAACAUCUGCGUUAUUUGAAUUUGUCUUUCACCCAAAUCAAAUUAUUGCCAGAUUCAGUGACCAACCUCUAUUAUUUACAAACAUUGAUACUAUCCAAUUGUGAGCAUCUUACCAAAUUUAAUUAGCCUUAGACAUCUCAAUGUUGUUAGUUGUUCAUUGCAAGAGAUGCCACAGCAAAUAGGCAAAUUAAAGAAAUUGCAAACAUUGUCUGAUUUUAUUGUGUCCAAAAGAGAAUUUUUGGGAAUAAAGGAGUUGAAGGAUUUGUCACAUCUGCGGGGGGAGAUAUGUAUUUCAAAAUUGGAAAAUGUUGUGGAUGUUCAAGAUGCUAGAGAUGCCAAUCUAAAAGCUAAGCUCAAUGUUGAAAGGUUGAGUAUGAUUUGGAGUAAAGAAUUGGAUGGUUCACAUGAUGAAGACGCUGAAAUGGAAGUCCUUCUCUCUCUACAACCUCAUACUAGUUUGAAGAAACUCAAUAUUGAAGGUUACGGUGGUCGGCAAUUCCCCAACUGGAUAUGUGAUCCCUCUUACAUUAAAUUGGUGGAGUUAAGUCUUAUUGGUUGUAUAAGAUGCAUAUCAGUACCUUCGGUUGGGCAACUACCCUUCCUCAAGAAGUUAGUCAUCAAAAGAAUGGAUGGAGUGAAAAGUGUGGGGCUGGAGUUUGAGGGCCAAGUUUCUCUUCAUGCUAAGCCUUUCCAAUGCUUAGAGUCUUUGUGGUUUGAGGACAUGAAGGAAUGGGAAGACUGGUGUUGGUCAACAAAGUCAUUUUCUCGCCUCCGUCUGUUGGAGAUAAAAAAUUGUCCAAGAUUGAUUAAGAAAUCACCCACACACCCAACUUCUCUAGUAAAGCUCAGUAUUGAGAAUUGUCCAGAAAUGAUGGUUCCACUUCCAACAUACUUGCCUUCUCUUGAAGAGCUCAAUAUCUAUUAUUGCCCAGAAAUGACGCCACAAUUUACAACCAUGAAUUUCUCAUUAUGCUACUGAGGGGAGCUUAAUAUCAGGGCUUUCCAGACUUCAGCCGGAGUUUAUGCCGUCCCUGCUGAGGCUUGAACUUCCAGAAAUUGACAAUUCUGGUCAGUUGCAAUGUUUGUGGAAGGAUGGUUUGGGAAUAGGAAACCUCUCUGGUCUUCGAAUAUUGGGUUGUAAACGACUUGUAUCCUUUGGAGAGGAGGAAGAGCAAGUUAUAAUACAUCUCUUGCAGAGUUGAUCAUCGAGCAAGUUAUAAUGCUUAGAGGUCUUGCUAUUUCUAAUUGUGAAAGUCUAAGUAGUCUACUUGAUAGGAUGAUGAUGAGAAACAGCAGCAACAACGUGUGUCACCUUGAAUACUUGGAGAUAGAGGAGUGUCCAUCUCUUAUUUGCUUUCCACAAGGGCGGUUACCCACCACCCUUAGGCGACUAUUCAUAUCCAUUGUGAAAAUCUAGUGUCUCUUCCAGAAGACAUCGAUGUGUGUUCCCUUGAAUAGUUAAUUAUAAAGAGUUGUCCAUCUCUCAUUGGUUUUCCAAAAGGAUAGUGGGCUGUAAAAAGCUAGUCUCUGAAAGUUUGUAUCAGGAAGAUGAAAAUCUAGUUUCUGUAUAUUAAGAGGAAGAAAUUACAUGUCAUGGAGAGGUUCUCUACUCUGCUAUUUAUAUUUUCUACUGUAACAAACUACGUUACCAAACUCCUACUUGCACAGUUCAAACUACAUUACCAGAUUCCCAACUACUUGCACAGUUCUUGAGUGAUCUUGGUUUUGUUGAGUUCUGUUGCUGGUGCAGUUGUGGUCUAUCAGUCUCUACCAGAAGGAAUAGUGCAUCACCAUUCCAACAACACAACCAAUUGCGGUCUUCAAAUCUUGGAUAUCUUUCAAGGUUCAUCUCUCGCAUCCUUUUCUACUGGCAAGUUUCCCUCUACCCGUAAAUCUAUUACGAUGGAUAAUUGUGCACAGUUGCAGCCAAUUUCAGAGGAGAUGUUUCACUGUAAUAAUAAUGCACUUGAAGAGUUGUUCAUCUCGAGAGUCCCUAAUCUUAAAAUCAUACCAGAUUGCUUCUACAACCUCAAAGAUGUUCGGAUUGAAAAAUGUGAGAAUCUGGACUUGCAGCCUCAUCUAUUGCGAAACCUCACUUCUCUUGCAUCACUUCAGAUCACUAAUUGUCAGAAUAUCAAAGUGCCCUUAUCAGAAUGGGGCCUUGCCAGGUUGACCUCUCUUAGAACUCUUACUAUUGGUGGCAUAUUUCAGGAAGCCACCUCCUUUUCUAAUCAUCACCA
rnacentral:lncRNA from 1 species